rnacentral:rRNA from 1 species
AGCGAACGCUGGCGGCAGGCCUAACACAUGCAAGUCGAACGAACUCUUCGGAGUUAGUGGCGGACGGGUGUGUAACACGUGGGAACGUGCCUUUUGGUUCGGAAUAACUCAGGGAAACUUGUGCUAAUACCGAAUGUGCCCUUCGGGGGAAAGAUUUAUCGCCAUUAGAGCGGCCCGCGUCUGAUUAGCUAGUUGGUGAGGUAACGGCUCACCAAGGCGACGAUCAGUAGCUGGUCUGAGAGGAUGACCAGCCACACUGGGACUGAGACACGGCCCAGACUCCUACGGGAGGCAGCAGUGGGGAAUCGGGCGCAAUGGGCGAAAGCCUGACGCAGCCAUGCCGCGUGAAUGAUGAAGGUCUUAGGAUUGUAAAAUUCUUUCACCGGGGACGAUAAUGACGGUACCCGGAGAAGAAGCCCCGGCUAACUUCGUG